rnacentral:lncRNA from 1 species
CUCUCAGCAGAUGGGGGAGCCAGAUGGAGUGGAAAGAUGGUUUUUCCCCUGGAGUUGGGCUAUUCAGUGGCCAGACUCUCCUGGGACCACCCCAGCCAAACUCCACGUUGUUCUGUGUUUGGAAUUGGUGGGUUCUUGAUCUCACCAACUUCAAGAAUGAAGCUGCGGACCCACGCAGUGAAUGUUACAGUUCCUAAAGAUGGUAUGUCUGGAGUUUGUUCCUUCUGAUGUUCGGAGUUUCUUCCUUCUGGUGGGUUCAUGGUCUCGCUGGCUUCAGGAGUGAAGCUGCAGACCGCGGUGAGUGUUACAGCUCUUAAGGCAGCGCGUCAAGAGAAUAGGGGAAUGCCAGGAACAGUGCUUUACAAGUCUCCAGUGUAGGGGCUAACUCAUUAUUAACUCUAGCUUAAAGUUAUCUGACAUUUAUUACAUACUUUUAUCAUGCUUGAUAUAGAAAUUAUUUUCUCCAAGAUGAGAACAUUUUUCCACUUAAAAAAUAAAAUUAGAACCUUUAUUAUAUAAUCCAAAUGUAUACACACAGGUAUAGAGCACAUAAUCCAGCAUUAUGUACUCAAGUUAUUUACUGGAAGUUUUUUUAAUCUCAGAAAAGGAUUAUAAAGGUAUUUUGUUGGAGUUGGAGGGUAUUAGAAAUACACAGAUUGAAAAUAUUACAUUCUCAGGGAAACUGGGUACUAGUGAAGCCUUUACUUUACACAGAUAGUCCACAUCUUCUGGGUGUUCAUAAGACUGACUGCAUCUAUUCCUCAGGGAAGAAAUGGCCUGUAUCAGGCAGGAAUAGACUGUAUUUAUAUUAGCACAGAUGAAAUGGACAUAAUGUACUUUUGGUUAAUCAUAUUUACUUAGCCUUGUAAAAAAUGGCCACCUUAACUGUGACUUUAAAGUGUUUACAUAAAAUAAUUUGUGAAGGUUGCAUUUCUCGUUUUAACUCUGGUGUUUUUGCUUAGUUGUUACUCUUUCAUCUACCCUCCCCCUGUCCCCCAUUAUGUCUACAAAAGGAAUAUCAAUGCUGAAAGUAUGAAUACAGUACUGAUAUGGUUUGGAUGUUUUGGCCCCUCCAGAUCUCAUGUUGAAAUGUGACCUCCAAUGUUAAAAGUGAGCCUAGUGGAUAGUGGUUGGAUCAUAGGGGAUGAUCCCUCUUGAUGGCUUGGUUCGAACCUUGCAGUAAUGAGUGAGUUCUCAGUCUAUGAGUUUGUGUAACAUCUGGUUGUUAAAAAGGGUUGGAACUUCCUCCUCUCUCUCUCUUGCUCCCACUUUGCCAUUUAAUAUACUGUGAUAUACUGGCUCCUCCUCCACCUUCUGCCAUGAUUAUAAGCUUCCUGAGGCCCUCACCAGAAGCUGGUGCUGGGACCAUGCUUCCUACACAGCCUGCAGAGGCAUGAGCCAAAAUAAACCUAUUUUUUUUUUUUGUAAAUUACUCAGCCACAGAUGUUCCUUUAUAGCAAUACAAAUGGACUGACACAAUUACUGUCUUCAUGUCACCACAUCCUACAUGCAUAUUCUACCUUCCACAGUGGGUUCCCAGACAGUGCUGCCAUACAGGAUAAUCUCCUCCCUCACUCCUGUAACAAAACCUCCACUGCACAUUUCCCCACAUAAUUAUAUUCCCAUUGGAUUAAUUCUCUCCUGUUUUAAAAUCUUGUUCCCCUGCUAGUUCAUAAAAUUUGGGGGAGAAAAAGGUAAUAAAUGUUGGUUAUAUUAUAUUCCUUGACAUGCUUAGCACAUUUCCGGGAAUACACAGGUUGAGUAUUCCUUAUCCAAAAUGCUUGGGACAAAAAGUGUUUCC